GAGGAUAAAGCUCAGUGGUAGAGUGUGUGCUUAGCAUGCAGGAGGUUCUGGGUUCUAAUCCCCAGUAUACAUG
rnacentral:tRNA from 1 species